rnacentral:rRNA from 1 species
GACGAACGCUGGCGGCGUGCUUAACACAUGCAAGUCGAACGGAAAGGCCCUGCUUUUGUGGGGUGCUCGAGUGGCGAACGGGUGAGUAACACGUGAGUAACCUGCCCUUGACUUUGGGAUAACUUCAGGAAACUGGGGCUAAUACCGGAUAGGAGCCCCUGCUGCAUGGUGGGGGUUGGAAAGUUUCGGCGGUUGGGGAUGGACUCGCGGCUUAUCAGCUUGUUGGUGGGGUAGUGGCUUACCAAGGCUUUGACGGGUAGCCGGCCUGAGAGGGUGACCGGCCACAUUGGGACUGAGAGACGGCCCAGACUCCUACGGGAGGCAGAAGUGGGGAAUAUUGCACAAUGGGCGGAAGCCUGAUGCAGCAACGCCGCGUGCGGGAUGACGGCCUUCGGGUUGUAAACCGCUUUCGCCUGUGACGAAGCGUGAGUGACGGUAAUGGGUAAAGAAGCACCGGCUAACUACGUG